rnacentral:tRNA from 3 species
GCGCCUGUAGCUCAGCUGGAUAGAGCGACGGACUACGAAUCCGCAGGUCGGGGGUUCGAAUCCCUCCAGGCGCGCCA